rnacentral:rRNA from 1 species
CCUACGGGAGGCAGCAGUGAGGAAUAUUGGUCAAUGGACGAGAGUCUGAACCAGCCAAGUAGCGUGAAGGAUGACUGCCCUAUGGGUUGUAAACUUCUUUUAUAUGGGAAUAAAAUGUUCCACGUGUGGGAUUUUGUAUGUACCAUAUGAAUAAGGAUCGGCUAACUCCGUGCCAGCAGCCGCGGUAAUACGGAGGAUCCGAGCGUUAUCCUGAUUUAUUGGGUUUAAAGGGAGCGUAGGUGGAUUGUUAAGUCAGUUGUGAAAGUUUGCGGCUCAACCGUAAAAUUGCAGUUGAAACUGGCAGUCUUGAGUACAGUAGAGGUGGGCGGAAUUCGUGGUGUAGCGGUGAAAUGCUUAGAUAUCACGAAGAACUACGAUUGCGAAGGCAGUUCACUGGACUGCAACUGACACUGAGGCUCGAAAGUGUGGGUAUCAAACAGGAUUAGAUACCCGUGUAGUC